CGGGUGAGUAAUGUCUGGGAAACUGCCUGAUGGAGGGGGAUAACUACUGGAAACGGUAGCUAAUACCGCAUAACGUCGCAAGACCAAAGAGGGGGACCUUCGGGCCUCUUGCCAUCGGAUGUGCCCAGAUGGGAUUAGCUAGUAGGUGGGGUAAUGGCUCACCUAGGCGACGAUCCCUAGCUGGUCUGAGAGGAUGACCAGCCACACUGGAACUGAGACACGGUCCAG
rnacentral:rRNA from 1 species